GACGAACGCUGGCGGCGUGCUUAACACAUGCAAGUCGAACGGAAAGGCCCUGCUUUUGUGGGGUGCUCGAGUGGCGAACGGGUGAGUAACACGUGAGUAACCUGCCCUUGACUUUGGGAUAACUUCAGGAAACUGGGGCUAAUACCGGCUAGGAGCUCCUGCUGCAUGGUGGGGGUUGGAAAGUUUCGGCGGUUGGGGAUGGACUCGCGGCUUAUCAGCUUGUGGGUGGGGUAGUGGCUUACCAAGGCUUUGACGGGUAGCCGGCCUGAGAGGGUGACCGGCCACAUUGGGACUGAGAUACGGCCCAGACUCCUACGGGAGGCAGCAGUGGGGAAUAUUGCACGAUGGGCGGACGCCUGAUGCAGCAACGCCGCGUGCGGGAUGACGGCCUUCGGGUUGUAAACCGCUUUCGCCUGUGACGAAGCGUGAGUGACGGUAAUGGGUAAAGAAGCACCGGCUAACUACGUG
rnacentral:rRNA from 1 species